rnacentral:lncRNA from 1 species
GAAAAACAGGCAAUAUUGUACAAGGAAUUAUAAUAUUGAAUAGGAAAGGCCUUUAAUGGAAAAUACAGCAUGGUUUCACUUGCACAUAUAUUAUAUAUAUAUACUCCACUGACUUCUGUUGUGGGAAAUAUUGAAAAGAAUAGCAAGUUCCCACAUACACUGGGCACCAGCAGGCUACAUGGUUCCAGCUGGGUAUUCUCAUCUCAGCAGACUUUCUGCCCAGAGCUCCAAAAUCUCUCCACCCAGCUCACUAAGUUCCCAUUGGUGGGUCACUACCAUGUCUGACCCAUGUUUCAAAACCCCCAUGGCCUUUGUGAUGCACAUCUGGAAAACCCACACUUUGUGGCCGUACCUUUCUCUCUUGAACCCAGUUGAACCACCCACGUGAAGGAAAACACCACACAAACUUAGUUCAGAAACAAUGGUAACUCAAUCGCUGUGUACAAUAACUAGAAUCCUAAUCUUGUAAGCCAUAUUGAAUCUAAAUCCUCUGCUGGUGAAUUUAGCAGAUUUGCCAUAAGCCAACGAAACAGGCAGGGAGAUACUAGUAGCUACAUUUUGUCCUCUCACUAUCUAAGUUCAAUAGGACCCUAUCUCUUUCUUCCUUCCUCUCUUCCUCUCUACUCCCCCAGUGAUUGAAUCCUUUAUUCAUUAGGGGAUGGUUCACAAGGAGUCACCUGAGUAUGUGACUCAUUACUCAUUCCAGACAACCCCUCCUAGGAAAGCAGAAUUAAUAUCAAAAUACAACAACACUGAGCCACCCACAACAGAUUCUUAUUUUAAAUUUUAUUUAUUAUUAUUGUGUAUAUACAUGUAUGGUUAUGUGUGAUUACAAAAAUGCAUCAUGAUUUGUGUGUAGAGGUCAUAAGUCAUUUCUUUCCUAUCUUGUAUCUUGUUUCCUUGAGUCCCAGGCAUCAAGUACCUUUAUCUUCAUAGACCUGAUUUUCACAUUUUUUUUAUAACAAUGGAACCCUCCUCUAAAACACAGCUUUACAUAGAACUGAAUACAUAAAAGAAGUUGGUUGUUUGUUGUUUUGUUUUGUUUUAACACAACUGGUGUGACUGAACUGGAAUGGAGAGGUCCCUCAUACUUAGUCUCUCCUUCCUUGUAUUUUGGUCUACUUCAAAUCCCUUGGGAAAACAAGUUGAAAAUGACCAUCCUAGUACAUCUUGAAGGCAUAACAAAUUGUAGGUAGAAGGUUUCAUGGUUGGGUUGAUGUACCAGUCCCACCAUUGAAAACUUUGCCUGGUUACAGAAGAUGGAAGUGGUAGUGUAGAAUGUGGGAGAGUGGCAAACCAAUAAUGGGUACAACUUGAGGCCCCCACUAGCAACAAGUGGGAGCUUAUGACAGACACUCCAUGGACUGCUAGGAACCAGAGGCUGCAGAGACCAGAGACCCAAGAGAGACCCAAACACAACUGAUGGGAAGAAAAAUAAGGCAAUGAAAUAAUUCCUAAUGAUAUUCUGCUACACCUGUGCCUAGCUCAAUUGUCAUCAAAAGGGUUUCAUCUAGAACUGAUGAGAGCAGAUACAGAGACCUGUAGCCAAACACUAGGCAGAGCCAGGGGAAUCCCAAAGGAGUACAGGAGGAAGGACUGUAGGAGCCAGAGAGUUCAAUGAUAACAGGAGGACAAGACCUACAGAAUCAACUAUGCACUACUCAAAGGGGCUCACAGAGACUGAAGCAGCAAUCAUGGAGCCGGUAUGUCAUGGUUGUGUAGCUUGGUGAUCUCAUGGGACUCCUAACACUGAGAGUGGGAAGUGUUUCUGACUCCCUUUUUUUUCUUGGGACCCUUUUCUUCCUAUUGAUUGCCUCAUACAGCCUUGAUAUGAGAGUUCCUAGUCUUAUUGUAACUUGUUAUGCCAUACUCAGUUGAUAUCCCUGAGAGACCUGCCCUUUUCUGAAGAGAAAUGGAGGAGGAGUAGAUCUAGGGGAGAUUAUAGGUGGAGGAGGGACUGAAAGGAAUGGAGGGAGGGGAAACUGAAGGGGAUAUAAUAUAUUAUAGAAGAAUAAAUUUAAAAAUAAAGUAAACUUCCAUUUCAUUUUUUAAAAAAAGAGAAGAAAAAGACAUAGAGAAAGAAAACUACCAUCAACUACCACCCUAUCUGUGAAGCAAAUUCUACUGCUAUAUAUGGCCCAAGGCAUGACCUGUACCUACAAAUCUGUAUUCAGGCCUCUCCCCUACCUGCUGCAUGGUAUGAAUUGAAAGAAGGAAGUAGGCCUGGCAGUGGUGGCGCACGCCUUUAAUCCCAGCACUAGGGAGGCAGAGACAGGCAGAUUUCUGAGUUCGAGGCCAGCCUGGUCUACAAAGUGAGUUCCAGGACAGCCAGAGCUAUACAGAGAAACCCUGUCUCGAAAAAAACAAAAAAACAAAAAACAAAAACAAGGGGCACAAAAUAUACUUGUUUUCCAUAAACUCAUCUAGGGUAUAGCGUGGCCAGGCAACCGGGCCUAUAUAUUAGGUAGUCUAUAGUCUAUAUUGUCAUGGAGGACAAACAUAGCAUUGAUGUAUGUCUCUGUCUUAAGUCAAUAGGAGCUCAAGAACACUCUUACCCAUCUCUACUAAUGGCCUUCUAUAGCACACUCUUUCCCAUUUAGACCAAAGUCACAAAGGACACAUGAAUAUGCACUCAAUACAUUUUGUAUUGAUGAAUAACUGCCAUGGUAAAAUAGCUAAGCCUGCUGAAAGUGAUCUUGUAUGAAAGCAACCAAUCUGUUUAAGAUAUAAGUUUGAAAAGUUAAAAGCAAUGAGAUUAUAAUUAAUGGCCCAAGCAAUGUAGAAAUUAAAGUUGUAAGCCAUGGGAAAGUGGUGAAUCAGGAUUCAAACCAUCCCUGAUUCUGUUCUUUUUCUCUUUUCCUUUUGGCUAGUCCUUCUCAAACUUCAGCCAUAAAAUGCUUUACUAUUCCUGAAUGAUCAAUUUAAAGGUAACAUUCUUCAUGAAGGACAUUCUUCAUAGUCCUCUCUGUUGAAGGAAUAAAAGAUCAAGUCCUCUCCUGUUUUGAAGAACUACCUCAGACAAGGAGGUUAGAGAUUCUUGCAAAUGGGAAAUAGAGGUUUCUAUCUUUUCUGUAUCUGUAUCUAUUGCUGUUCUAAGGAGCUCAUAAUUUUUUACUUGCAAAACCAGGGCAGAAGUGUCAGUAGCUACUCCUCCCACACUCAGAGAGUUCCUUGGCACCCAAAUUUUAAAAAUUUAAAAAUAAAAGACAUGAUUUAAAUAAUGUGGUGUAUGGGGAUAUAAUCCCCCCUUUUUUGUUUUUUUUUAUGAAGAUAUUGUUUUAAAGUUCCAUGGACCUGUUCCAUAAUACCUUGUCCUUUAGGAUAAUAAGGAAAUAUGAAUAACAUCCAUUUGCCAUAAUUGAUUAGGUAUGAAUCCUCAAAAAUUAACACCAUUAUGUGGUACAUGAAGAAAUUGAGGACACUGAGAACAAGUCUUUACAAUUUGAUGUGUAUAAUUUCUAGAAAUAUGAAAUUGUUGUCUCAAACUAUUACUAUUUUGAUGUUAUAAAGAAUGAGAUUGUUUGGCUAAUUGUUCCUGUAAGUCCUGGUACAAAUGUGCUGUGACAUUGGCCAGGGGUUCAGGCAAUCAUGUAUGAGCUCUUAAGUGUCUUCUAAAGUAAGGAACAGUACAUGUUUCUUAAAUUAAGCUGUAUUUGUAUAAAUAACUGUAAAAUUUGAGAAUUAGCAGUAUCUAAAAAUGGAACAAUUUCAUGCAAUUGUAAACCAUGAGCUAUAUAUCGGCUAUCAGUAUACAAAUUAAAAGCUUGAUUUUUUUUUCAACAUUUC